GGGGCUGUAGCUCAGCUGGGAGAGCGCGUCGUUCGCAACGACGAGGUCGAGGGUUCGAUCCCCUUCAGCUCCA
rnacentral:tRNA from 3 species